rnacentral:lncRNA from 1 species
CUGAAAAUGUAAUUGAAGAGUCUAUUCAGAUGAACCAUAUAAAAUGCCAAAUACAAUAAUUCAUAUUCAUCAUUUUCAACAACAGAACAAAUUAUUCUUACUCUUUAGUCUCUACUCCGAGUCUCCAAGGAUCAUCUUGUCCUCUACUGAUAUCUCUCUCCCUCUCCCCCAACCACACUAUCCCAACUUUCUCCUCAACACAAUCCCAUAAAAGCCACCAUUGUGCAGAAAUCACUAGUGCUUCUGAAAGUAUGGAUAGCAAAGAAAUGGUAGAAAAUGGGUUGAAGAUGAGGAGUAUCCACCAUGAAGACUACAAUAACAGAAGGGUAUUCUUGAGGAGCUAUCCUCUUCAUUGUGGAGCAGCAGACGACACAAUCAUUGAAGAGAUGGUCAGCGCCACUAAAGCAUAAGCUCCAGAUCAGCUUUGAGGCCAUGGGGCCCUAAUUCAGCGGAAAUUCCAUCCUUUUCUGCCUCCUCUUGGCAAUUAGCCAAUUGAGCGCUUGUCAGAGAGGCACCCGAUAGUGGAAGUCCAGUGCUUAGUUUUUCAAAAACUUGAUUUUUGAUCCAUACCAUCAUCUUGCUAGAUUACAACGCUGUAAAACAUUCCACGAGCUAAAUUUCAGACACUUAGGCACAAGUUGGUGCAACAGAAACCAUGAUUUUUAAUAUCCUAAAGCAGACGCUAAUCCUUGGGGCAAAUUAUCAUACUUCUAUUUGCUAAUCUAGUCCUAAUUCAAUGAAGAAAAUGGCAGCACCAAACCUAGUAUAGGAAACACAAAAUCGACUGGUUUACAAGAAAUGAAAUCAAGCCUAAACUAUAAAAAAGAGAAUUAACUUUUAAACCACAAACACAUUCUCAUUGUCAUAUUAAAGCCCUAAUAUGCAUGUCAAUGCACAAACCAGACGGAAAGCUGCUAAAGAAAGCACGCAUUCAAGCUCACAUAGAAACAUGCAUCCAAAUUGCAUAAGCAAAUCAAUGGUAUAAGAAAAAAACAGAGAAAGAGUGAAUGAGAUAAUAAAAAAGAAGACCUUUUGCCCCCAUCUGCAAGAUGCUAUCUCAUAAAAUCAAAAAACCCUGAUUAACAAUUAAAUUUUUUAAACAAAUAAAAAUUGCUAAUGCAAUAUAUAUAUGUGCGCGCGCGUUGUGGGUCUUCGUCAAUCAUCAUAGGCAUACUCUGUUGAUCACUCAUAACCUUAUUAAGCAUAAUCCCAGCUUCUUUUAUUAGAGCCAAAAGAACGCACCAAAUACAGCUGAGCGAGCGGAGGCGUCGAGUCUUUCCGCAUGGAGAGAAAGCCUCCCGUGGCCGCUUCUGGCGGAGGUAUACCAUCGAAUAGUCAAAAGCGGAGACGAAGCCUCCCUCUCUGGAAGCCUCUGG